GAUGAAGAACGUAGCGAAAUGCGAUACUUGGUGUGAAUUGCAGAAUCCCGUGAACCAUCGAGUCUUUGAACGCAAGUUGCGCCCGAAGCCAUUAGGCCGAGGGCACGCCUGCCUGGGCGUCACACGUCGUUGCCCCCCCAUCUACUCUUUCGGGAUUGCGGGGGGCGGAUGAUGGCCUCUCGUGCGCCUCGUCGCGCGGUUGGCCUAAAUGCCAAGUCCUCGGCGACGCACGCCACGACAAUCGGUGGUUGCGAAACCUCGGUUGCCUGUCGUGUGCGGUCGUCGCGCAUCGAGGGCUCGAAAAAAUUGCCGGGCUUCGGCUCGACUUUCAACGCGACCCCAGGUCAGGCGGGGUUACCCGCUGAAUUUAAGCAUAUCAAUAAGCGGAGGA
rnacentral:misc_RNA from 1 species